rnacentral:rRNA from 1 species
GUGAGGAAUAUUGCGCAAUGGAGGCAACUCUGACGCAGCCAUGCCGCGUGCAGGAAGAAGGCGCUACGCGUUUUAAACUGCUUUUAACCGGGAAGAAACCCCAGGACGUGUCCUGGGUUGACGGUACCGGAGGAAUAAGCACCGGCUAACUUCGUGCCAGCAGCCGCGGUAAUACGAAGGGUGCAAGCGUUAUCCGGAUUCAUUGGGUUUAAAGGGUGCGUAGGCGGAGCGUUAAGUCAGUGGUGAAAUCCUGCAGCUUAACUGUAGACUUGCCAUUGAUACUGGCGCUCUUGAGUGCGCUUGAAGUGGGCGGAAUGUGCCGUGUAGCGGUGAAAUGCUUAGAUAUGGCACAGAACACCAAUUGCGAAGGCAGCUCACUAAGGCGAUACUGACGCUGAGGCACGAAAGCGUGGGGAUCGAACAGGAUUAGAUACCCGUGUAGUCC